rnacentral:snoRNA from 1 species
AAGACUAUACUUUCAGGGAUCAUUUCUAUAGUUUGUAACUCUAUAUUUUCAAAUAACAUAAUGUUUUAUUCCAUGAGACCUAUAGCAGUUAUUAAUGAAUGGA